GGAAUUUGAGAAUAUAGACUACUGUGCCCGGCGUCGUCACUGCCUCUCUCCUUCGACUCUUCUCACUUACCCACGUGGGUCCUUCCUGGUUCCGAUCACAGGAGUGGUCACGACAGAAUCUCUCACUGAACCUGGUGUUCAUGGAUUCAGCUAGACUGAUUGGCCAGCAAGCCUCAGGGACCUGUCUAUUUCCACCUUCCAAGCCCCAGGUUUAUAAGUUGAUUUAACAUGAUGGGUUCCGGAGAUGCCAGCACAGAAGGACAGCAUCUCCUCCUUGCUUGGAUUCCAAACAGGCAGCUAACAGCUCCGAUGUCAGCAUCUGAAGCAUUGAGGCUGCUGGAUGCUCUGCUCAGAGAUGCUAACAGGUCUGGCUCCUGGGCAGAGGCCUUGGAGGAGAAGAUGCCUUCCCCACGUUCAGCAUUUCCUGGGCAUCUGUUAUGCUCUUGGAGAAGUUUCCGUCUCUAUUAUCAGAGCUUCCAAGAGUAAAGGUAUCAGCUCUGUAGCCAGAGAAGUGGGAUCCCAACUUGACCAGUUCUUGAGAAGACAGGCAUACCGGAGUGCUACUCCAAUGCGGAGCAUGGAAUGGAGGAAACCUUUUUAGAAUCAUUGAAAUGGGCCUUCAAGGAUGGACUGAAAUGAGCCAAAUGGAGAAUGUUAUCCAGGGAAGUGAAGGAGCAUCCACAGAAGGUUUCAUGCAAAGUAGGGACUUGAGUGCGACCAGCAGGAAGGGGCAUCUUAAGGACUGGUAGGAAGCAAGAAAGCAGGAGUGAGGGCUGGGGAGACAGCUUAGCAGUUAAGAGCACUGGCCACUCUAGCAGAACACUAGAGUUCAGUUCCCAGCACCCACAUGGUGUCUCACAACCAAAUGUUACUUCAGUUCCAGAGGUUCCUACACCCUUGUCUGGCCUCCACAGGCACCAGACCUGCACUCGGUGCACAGAUACACAUGCAG